GAUGAACGCUGGCGGCGUGCCUAAUACAUGCAAGUCGAGCGAACAGACGAGGAGCUUGCUCCUCUGACGUUAGCGGCGGACGGGUGAGUAACACGUGGAUAACCUACCUAUAAGACUGGGAUAACUUCGGGAAACCGGAGCUAAUACCGGAUAAUAUAUUGAACCGCAUGGUUCAAUAGUGAAAGACGGUUUUGCUGUCACUUAUAGAUGGAUCCGCGCCGCAUUAGCUAGUUGGUAGGGUACGGCUUACCAAGGCGACGAUGCGUAGCCGACCUGAGAGGGUGAUCGGCCACACUGGAACUGAGACACGGUCCAGACUCCUACGGGAGGCAGCAGUAGGGAAUCUUCCGCAAUGGGCGAAAGCCUGACGGAGCAACGCCGCGUGAGUGAUGAAGGUCUUCGGAUCGUAAAACUCUGUUAUUAGGGAAGAACAAAUGUGUAAGUAACUAUGCACGUCUUGACGGUACCUAAUCAGAAAGCCACGGCUAACUACGUG
rnacentral:rRNA from 1 species